rnacentral:rRNA from 1 species
GACGAACGCUGGCGGCGUGCUUAACACAUGCAAGUCGAACGGAAAGGCCCUGCUUUUGUGGGGUGCUCGAGUGGCGAACGGGUGAGUAACACGUGAGUAACCUGCCCUUGACUUUGGGAUAACUUCAGGAAACUGGGGCUAAUACCGGAUAGGAGCUCCUGCUGCAUGGUGGGGGUUGGAAAGUUUCGGCGGUUGGGGAUGGACUCGCGGCUUAUCAGCUUGUUGGUGGGGUAGUGGCUUACCAAGGCUUUGACGGGUAGCCGGCCUGAGAGGGUGACCGGCCACAUUGGGACUGUGAUACGGCCCAGACUCCUACGGGAGGCAGCGGUGGGGAAUAUUGCACAAUGGGCGGAAGCCUGAUGCAGCAACGCCGCGUGCGGGAUGACGGCCUUCGGGUUGUAAACCGCUUUCGCCUGUGACGAAGCGUGAGUGACGGUAAUGGGUAAAGAAGCACCGGCUAACUACGUG